rnacentral:rRNA from 1 species
GACGAACGCUGGCGGCGUGCCUAAUACAUGCAAGUCGAACGCUUCUUUCCUCCCGAGUGCUUGCACUCAAUUGGAAAGAGGAGUGGCGGACGGGUGAGUAACACGUGGGUAACCUACCCAUCAGAGGGGGAUAACACUUGGAAACAGGUGCUAAUACCGCAUAACAGUUUAUGCCGCAUGGCAUAAGAGUGAAAGGCGCUUUCGGGUGUCGCUGAUGGAUGGACCCGCGGUGCAUUAGCUAGUUGGUGAGGUAACGGCUCACCAAGGCCACGAUGCAUAGCCGACCUGAGAGGGUGAUCGGCCACACUGGGACUGAGACACGGCCCAGACUCCUACGGGAGGCAGCAGUAGGGAAUCUUCGGCAAUGGACGAAAGUCUGACCGAGCAACGCCGCGUGAGUGAAGAAGGUUUUCGGAUCGUAAAACUCUGUUGUUAGAGAAGAACAAGGACGUUAGUAACUGAACGUCCCCUGACGGUAUCUAACCAGAAAGCCGCGGCUAACUACGUG